ACAAAUAUGAAGGCGGGCUGGAACCUCUCGGGGUUACAGCCUUGCUGAAUUAUUCACCCUUGUCUUUUGCGUACUUCUUGUUUCCUUGGUGGGUUCGCCCACCACUAGGACAAACAUAAACCUUUUGUAAUUGCAAUCAGCGUCAGUAACAAAUUAAUAAUUACAACUUUCAACAACGGAUCUCUUGGUUCUGGCAUCGAUGAAGAACGCAGCGAAAUGCGAUAAGUAGUGUGAAUUGCAGAAUUCAGUGAAUCAUCGAAUCUUUGAACGCACAUUGCGCCCUUUGGUAUUCCAAAGGGCAUGCCUGUUCGAGCGUCAUUUGUACCCUCAAGCUUUGCUUGGUGUUGGGCGUCUUGUCUCUAGCUUUGCUGGAGACUCGCCUUAAAGUAAUUGGCAGCCGGCCUACUGGUUUCGGAGCGCAGCACAAGUCGCACUCUCUAUCAGCAAAGGUCUAGCAUCCAUUAAGCCUUUUUUCAACUUUUGACCUCGGAUCAGGUAGGGAUACCCGCU
rnacentral:rRNA from 1 species